rnacentral:rRNA from 1 species
UACGUAGGUGGCAAGCGUUGUCCGGAUUUACUGGGCGUAAAGAGCGCGCAGGCGGUCGUUCAAGUCGAGUGUGAAAGCCCCCGGCUCAACUGGGGAGGGUCACUCGAUACUGAUCGACUCGAAGGCAGAAGAGGGAAGCGGAAUUCCCGGUGUAGUGGUGAAAUGCGUAGAUAUCGGGAGGAACACCAGUGGCGAAGGCGACUACCUGGCCUGUUUCUUGACGCUGAGGCGCGAAAGCUAGGGGAGCAAACGGG